UACGAAGGGGGCUAGCGUUGCUCGGAAUCACUGGGCGUAAAGGGUGCGUAGGCGGGUCAUUAAGUCAGGGGUGAAAUCCUGGAGCUCAACUCCAGAACUGCCUUUGAUACUGAAGAUCUUGAGUUCGGGAGAGGUGAGUGGAACUGCGAGUGUAGAGGUGAAAUUCGUAGAUAUUCGCAAGAACACCAGUGGCGAAGGCGGCUCACUGGCCCGGUACUGACGCUGAGGUGCGAAAGCGUGGGGAGCAAACAGG
rnacentral:rRNA from 1 species